UUCAAAAGUGUUUUUAAAAGCUUUUAAAAGACUAAACCAUGAUUUACAAUAGUUUUUAAAGCAUCACUAAGUGAUUUACAAGGGAUUUUAAAACGGGUUACAUGGUUUAUAAUCGGUUUUAAAAGAUUAGAAAGUGGUAAAGAAUGAUUUACAAGGGAUUUUAAAAAGGAUUUACAUGCU
rnacentral:sRNA from 1 species